GACGAACGCUGGCGGCGUGCUUAACACAUGCAAGUCGAACGGAAAGGCCCUGCUUUUGUGGGGUGCUCGAGUGGCGAACGGGUGAGUAACACGUGAGUAACCUGCCCUUGACUUUGGGAUAACUUCAGGAAACUGGGGCUAAUACCGGAUAGGAGCUCCUGCUGCAUGGUGGGGGUUGGAAAGUUUCGGCGGUUGGGGAUGGACUCGCGGCUUAUCAGCUUGUUGGUGGGGUAGUGGCUUACCAAGGCUUUGACGGGUAGCCGGCCUGAGAGGGUGACCGGCCCCAUUGGGCCUGAGAUACGGCCCAGACUCCUACGGGAGGCAGCGGUGGGGAAUAUUGCCCAAUGGGCGGAAGCCUGAUGCAGCAACGCCGCGUGCGGGAUGACGGCCUUCGGGUUGUAAACCGCUUUCGCCUGUGACGAAGCGUGAGUGACGGUAAUGGGUAAAGAAGCACCGGCUAACUACGUG
rnacentral:rRNA from 1 species